rnacentral:rRNA from 1 species
AGAGUUUGAUCAUGGCUCAGAACGAACGCUGGCGGCAGGCUUAACACAUGCAAGUCGAACGGGCGUCGCAAGACGUCAGUGGCAGACGGGUGAGUAACGCGUGGGAACAUACCCUUCGGUUCGGAAUAGCUCAGGGAAACUUGGAUUAAUACCGGAUACGUCCGCGAGGAGAAAGAUUCAUCGCCGAAGGAUUGGCCCGCGUCUGAUUAGCUAGUUGGUGGGGUAACGGCUCACCAAGGCGACGAUCAGUAGCUGGUCUGAGAGGAUGAUCAGCCACAUUGGGACUGAGACACGGCCCAAACUCCUACGGGAGGCAGCAGUGGGGAAUAUUGGACAAUGGGCGCAAGCCUGAUCCAGCCAUGCCGCGUGAGUGAUGACGGCCUUAGGGUUGUAAAGCUCUUUCGCUCGGGACGAUAAUGACGGUACCGAGAUAAGAAGCCCCGGCUAACUUCGUGCCAGCAGCCGCGGUAAUACGAAGGGGGCUAGCGUUGUUCGGAAUUACUGGGCGUAAAGCGCGUGUAGGCGGAUCUUUAAGUCAGGGGUGAAAUGCCAGGGCUCAACCUUGGAACUGCCUUUGAUACUGGAGAUCUUGAGUCCGGGAGAGGUGAGUGGAAUUGCGAGUGUAGAGGUGAAAUUCGUAGAUAUUCGCAAGAACACCAGUGGCGAAGGCGGCUCACUGGCCCGGAACUGACGCUGAGACGCGAAAGCGUGGGGAGCAAACAGGAUUAGAUACCCUCGUAGUCC